AGUGAACGCUGGCGGUAGGCCUAACACAUGCAAGUCGAACGGCAGCACAGUAAGAGCUUGCUCUUACGGGUGGCGAGUGGCGGACGGGUGAGGAAUACAUCGGAAUCUACUUUUUCGUGGGGGAUAACGUAGGGAAACUUACGCUAAUACCGCAUACGACCUACGGGUGAAAGCAGCGGAUCUUCGGACCUUGCGCGAUUGAAUGAGCCGAUGUCGGAUUAGCUUGUUUGCGGGGUAAAGACCCACAAAGGCGACGAUCCGUAACUGGUCUGAGUGGAUCGUCUAACACUCUGGAACUUAGACAAGGUCAAGCCCGCUACGGGAGGCAGCAGUGGCGAAUAUUGGACAAUUGGCGCAAGCCUGAUCCAGCCAUACCGCGUGGGUGAAGAAGGACUUCGGGUUCUAAAGCCCUUUUGUUGGGAAAGAAAAGCAGCAGGUUAAUACCCCGCUGUUCUGACGGUACCCAAAGAAUAAGCACCGGCUAACUUCGUG
rnacentral:rRNA from 1 species